CAUUAUUUUUUAUUGUUAAUUUUUAUUUUAUUAUAUUUUCAUUUCAUUUAGUUUCAUACAAUAAUUGUUUUGCUUACUUUACUAAAUUAUUGAAGUAAUUAAAUACCAUUGCUUGCUCAAAACACUUUCCCUCUUAAAUUUGGCCUUUCUCAAAACAAUAACUUAAUGUAGUAAACAGGAGUAUAUACAGUUACAUUUUUUUAUGAAAUACACUGUAAAAAUUUUUUCAAAAAUUUGACUUCUCCAAGAAUUAAAAAAAAUAAGUCCGAAUUAUUGACGAGUUACAAAUUUGUUGGAGUUGCAUAUAAUUAUGUCAUGUUGCAUGAUUUGAAAUGUUGAAAAUCUACAUAACGGUACUUAAAAUUAACAAAAUCGUUUCUUGAAGUGAUGUUUACUUUUUACUUAUAAUUAAAUGUAUGAUUGUUUGGUGAGAUAGUUAUGUUCGCGUGUGGUGUCUGUGACUUGGCAACGAUGAGUUGAUGAUCUAUGUCUAUAUAUGUACAUUUAAAAGUGUGAUUUUUAACAUUAUACAUAUUAUUCUUAUUUUAAAUCAAUGCAUUAACAGUUUCAAAUAAAAAUAUUAUGCUUAAAAUAGUCAAAUAAUUUAAAAAUGCUUUAUACAGAAAUACUUUUUUGGUUUCAAAAUCUCGUUCCUGUUGUUCAAAGUUAUUUUACAUAUUGUAUAGGCUGCAAUUUCAGCAUGUGGCUCAAGAGUUUCGGUUCUCCAAAGAUUGACAAAAAAUUUCAAAAUAUUUACAUUUUCUUUUUGCUUACAUUGCAGUUCAUUGAUGUGUUUUUAUAAUAUUUUUUGGAGUAUUUUUAAUUUUUUAUUUGAAUUUCAUUUUUUUUUUA